AGCUUUGCGCAGUGGCAGUAUCGUAGCCAAUGAGGUUUAUCCGAGGCGUGAUUAUUGCUAAUUGAAAACACUGCAAAUCUGAGGACACUGUAAGCCUUGGAAUGCAAAUGAACUUG
rnacentral:snRNA from 1 species